rnacentral:rRNA from 1 species
UACGGGGGGGGCAAGCGUUGUUCGGAAUUACUGGGCGUAAAGGGUCUGUAGGUGGCCAACUAAGUCAGACGUGAAACCCCUCAGCUUAACUGGGGAACUGCGUCUGAUACUGGAUGGCUUGAGUGCAGGAGAGGAACGCGGAAUUCCAGGUGUAGCGGUGAAAUGCGUAGAUAUCUGGAGGAACACCGGUGGCGAAGGCGGCGUUCUGGACUGCAACUGACACUGAGAGACGAAAGCCAGGGGAGCAAACGGG